GCAUGUCAAGGCAAGCGUAGCUUCGACGCCGACGUCGGCGUCAACUGCGGCGUUGGCGGCAGCGUCGUUGCUAAGUUUUGUGACCCUUUUCGGCAGACACUUUUUUUCCCUCCUCGCUUUGUUUACUGUUGUUGUUGGCGUUGUAGUGUUAACCGCCAGUGUGUACAUACGUUGAAGUAAUUAAAGCGUUGCCAGCUGACGUCACUGACGUUGAGUGGCUUCUUCUACGAUUACUGUUUGCUGCUGGUCGCGCAUGAGCAAGAGAAUGCACUCCCGCACAAGGACACGUGCCUGGGCAAUGUCACGCAACAGGCGCUCCUUUGGGGCACGCAAUCCAAUUGUUGUUGGUCCCAAAUUGCUUUGCAUCUCUGCUAUGGUCCGCAACAGGCUGCCAUAGACAUCCACUAUGUUGGGCGUUUCUGUGUUGGUUGUAGGUGCUUGGCAGAGACAGAGACAGAGUCGGAGCAGUGUGGCAGGCGGUCAAGCGUGCUUCCCGCACGCAGAUACUUGGAUUCGUUCUACCCCCAAAGCGAGCACAACGUGUGGGGCAUGACGACGGUGACGCAUGGAAUUGAAAUAGAAAGAGGCACCUGGAAGCGUGUUUUUUUGUUUUCCAGAAUUUGUUAUUAUGGUGGCUAGAAUUUACGAGUUUAACAAUAAAGGUGUACAACAAAAUUUUGGAUGCUACAGAGUCAAGUUCGAAUUGUUCUUCAAUUGCUGUUCAGCUGCUGGGCCUGCAGCAGAUCUUUGAGAUCGCGUUUUGAUGGCUCGCCGCACUCGAAUCGAUGAUAGUCAACGAUGUCAACGCCGCGCUCUUUGAGCACUUCGCCCACCGUCUUAUCGGCAUCGAGCAGAUAUUCCUGAUAAAUGAGACACGUCUCAUCAUCUUUAUUCUCCGCCGGCUUAUCCUUGCCAUAUUCGCCAAUUUUGAUGGGUUUCAUGCCAACAAUUUGCUGACAAAUUCCCUUUUGCACUUCCAGAUCCUCAAAGU